UAAAAAACAACGAGUCAGCUUGAAUGCUAGUGUGGCGCGCGCCAUGCGACACUGUUAAAUUGCGGGGACCCCCUGAAGCUUUGUCCUACCAAGUGCUUGUGCGCGAAAGCGCCAGCAUGGCCGAGCCAAUCGCCCUGGGUAUGGUAACAACGGACAAGGAUGUUAUAUAUGGGUGAUCCGCAGCCAAGUCCUACGUCGAAUCGCGCAUGUUCGAUAUGGAACGGGUUCACAGACUAGAUAGCAGUGGGUGGCACACACACGUGUGUCGCUUAAGAUAUAGUCGGUCUCGUGCCGAAACGCACGGGGAGGUGAUCGACGCUCUUGCGUGUCGCUGUAUUCGACAACUGCAAGUGUGCGUCACAUGCACAUAUACGUUCCGUAGGUGAACCUGCGGAAGGAUCAUUAACACAGUGGGCGGCCCUAGCGCUGCAUCCCAUAUCCAACCCCAUGUGAACCGGUGACGUGCGGCGACUCCAGCUGCGUGUUUCAUUUUCGAACCAUCCUAGCCGAAACACAACUAAAGUUCCAUACAUACAUACAUGUUACAACUCUUAGCAAUGGAUAUCUUGGUUCUCACAACGAUGAAGAACGCAGCGAACUGCGAUACGUAGUGCGAAUUGCAGAAUUCAGUGAAUCAUCAAAUCUUUGAACGCAAGUUGCGCUUCCGAGAUACCCUUGGAAGCAUGCCUCUUUGAGUGUCGGUUUCUGUUUGUUUGCGCGCCCGCGCGCGCAAGACAAUGAGCUUUGCUGCGGCAUAGCUUGAACGAAGCGACCCGGGAUCGUGCGCGCAUUGUUGAUACCCUCGAGAAUGCCGGAGCGGUCCCCGCCGAUCUGCGCGCAAUCGCAGAUCGACACACACACAUCAAAGAUCUCAAAUGAGGUAGGAUUACCCGCU
rnacentral:sRNA from 1 species